CCUACGGGAGGCAGCAGUUGGGCGAAAGCCUGAUCCAGCCAUGCCGCGUGAGUGAUGAAGGCCCUAGGGUUGUAAAGCUCUUUCAACGGUGAAGAUAAUGACGGUAACCGUAGAAGAAGCCCCGGCUAACUUCGUGCCAGCAGCCGCGGUAAUACGAAGGGGGCUAGCGUUGUUCGGAAUUACUGGGCGUAAAGCGCACGUAGGCGGAUUGUUAAGUUAGGGGUGAAAUCCCAGGGCUCAACCCUGGAACUGCCUUUAAUACUGGCAAUCUCGAGUCCGAGAGAGGUGAGUGGAAUUCCGAGUGUAGAGGUGAAAUUCGUAGAUAUUCGGAGGAACACCAGUGGCGAAGGCGGCUCACUGGCUCGGUACUGACGCUG
rnacentral:rRNA from 1 species